UUGAGCGUCGGAGGGUCUUGCUGGAGCAACCCCACCUCCGGUUUAGACUUCCUUUGCAGGUCCCGGUGGCGAUCGUGACUUCCUCGACUCCAGCUUCUCCAGCGCAAGCGGAUUUUUGCACCAACACAUACGAUUUUGAAUCCUAUGGAACUUGUGAAUCUUGCUUUAUGGAAAAGAUGACCAAAACCCCAUUUACUAGAUAUGGGGAGGGCGUGAGCAAGUUAUUAGGCCUCAUACAUACAGAUGCUUAAGGGAAAAUGGCAACUC
rnacentral:lncRNA from 1 species